UGUGGCCCCGGUCUAAGUUCCUUGGAACAGGACGUCAUAGAGGGUGAGAAUCCCGUAUGUGACUGGGUGCUUUCGCCCGUGUAAAGCUCUUUCGACGAGUCGAGUUGUUUGGGAAUGCAGCUCUAAAUGGGUGGUAUAUUUCAUCUAAAGCUAAAUAUUGGCCAGAGACCGAUAGCGCACAAGUAGAGUGAUCGAAAGAUGAAAAGCACUUUGGAAAGAGAGUUAAACAGUACGUGAAAUUGUUGAAAGGGAAGCGCUUGCAACCAGACUCGCAUGCCGUCGAUCAUCCAGGGUUCUCCCUGGUGCACUCGGCGGCGUUCGGGCCAGCAUCGGUUUUGGUGGCGGGAUAAAGGCCUUGGGAAUGUAGCUCCUCUCGGGGAGUGUUAUAGCCCUCGGUGCAAUGCCGCCUACCGGGACCGAGGACCGCGCUUCGGCUAGGAUGCUGGCGUAAUGGUUGUAAGCGACCCGUCUUGAAACACGGACCAAGGAGUCUAACAUCUAUGCGAGUAUUUGGGUGUCAAACCCAUAUGCGUAAUGAAAGUGAACGGAGGUGAGAACCCUUUAGGGUGCAUCAUCGACCGAUCCUGAUGUCUUCGGAUGGAUUUGAGUAAGAGCAUAGCUGUUGGGACCCGAAAGAUGGUGAACUAUGCCUAAAUAGGGUGAAGCCAGAGGAAACUCUGGUGGAGGCUCGCAGCGGUUCUGACGUGCAAAUCGAUCGUCAAAUUUGGGUAUAGGGGCGAAAGACUAAUCGAACCAUUGAACUACUAGGUGGUCAAGAGAGGCCGCGAGAGCGGCACCUAGUCCUAGGUCAUAGGGCAACAUUAUCAAAUUGUACGGGGACGUCCCGCUCUAAAUCCAAGCUACCGCAGCUGUCUCGAAAGAGCAGCGCGCACCAGGUUAACGACCUCGGGGAUGGUAACAACGCGAGGAUAGGGAUAAUCCGCAGCCAAGUCCUAACAGUGGUUCCCACUCACGGAUGCAGUUCACAGACUAAAUGGUAAUGGGCCCGGGUUCCACGGAGCCUGGGUUUAAGUUAUAGUCGAGCCGCCAGGAGACUGGUCACCGCAGAGGAAUGCCCUAGAGAUGACCUUCGUCUAGGGCAGGAGAG
rnacentral:rRNA from 1 species